CCUGAUCAGCCCCUGUCAACCGCUCCAGCAUCAUCAUCUACCACACCACCCUUUGCUCCAUUGAACUUCGGCCACACUGGCUGUUUUAAUGAUCUACUGCGGCAAGACAAACCAUCCUGAAACCUAGUGGCUUGAAACAGCAACUGUGGAUUAUUCCUCAUGAUUCUGUGAAUUGGUGGAGCUCAGCUGGGAGGUUCAUCUCUGUUCUACUCUGAUGUUGGUGGAGGUGACUCGUGGCCUCAUUUGGCCUGGACUUUUGCAGGAACUGGAGCAACCUCUCUCACAUGGAGGACACCUGGACAUCUCUUUCUCUCCACCUUGUCUCUGGAUCCCUUUACAUGCUGGCUCAGGAAUCCAGAAAAGAAAAGCUGAUGGUUUGCCAAAAGAAAAUGAACUCCAAACUCUUGGGGUCUGAACUGGGUUCAAGCAUCAGAUCCAGGGGAGCCCAGGGGGAUGCUGCUUAGUCAGGGGCCUCAAAUGUUCUCUGCACAAGCCAGGACUGCUGUAACCAAGUACCAUGAAGUGCAUGGCUUAAAACAACAGCAAUGCUUUCUCUCACAGUUCUAGAGGUAGAAGCAUGAAGCCAGCUAUUGACAGGAGCAUGCUCCCACUGAAGAUAGCAAGGAGGGUGUUCAGAAAGAGGAGAGAGAGGAAGCUAAAGAGAAAAGUAAAUGAAACCAGAAUGGCCUUCUCCCCAGGACCUCCAUCCUGAGCCUUGCAGCGAGAGUGAAGAAGCAUCUGAGCUGUCCUCCAGGGACAAGCAAGGAAAAGGAUCCCCCAUUUUGGGGAGAAUCACGUGGCAAAACAGGAAAACCAGACCAGCAGAGAGGAGAGAGACCAGCAAUCAGACCCUCCCAGAGACAAUCAUUGUUAACAUAUUGGUGCGGACCUUUCCUAAUUUCUUUUCUAUAGAUAUGUUAUAAUUUUCCUCUUUAAAAAUAGAACCAAAUUAUUCUAUUUUUUAGUUGAUUUUUUUUUCCAACUUAUGACAGCGAUGGUUAAAUUUUAU
rnacentral:lncRNA from 10 species